ensembl:lincRNA Gm17215 predicted gene 17215
AAAAAAAAAAGAGAAAAUCAAGAGAUGUAUGGAUAAAAUAGACAUCAUCCAAGCUACCACAGGAUUUCCGAAUUGGAAGCAUUUGGAUGAUGUAGCCUGACACCUCCCAAUUCACUAUGAAUGGUGUAGAAGUCAUGUUUCCAUGAUGCUCUGAGAUUUUAUCCAUCACCAUGAAAGAACAUACCCAGUAUACCCUACUGUCUAAAGUAAAUAGACAGUGACAAGUGAGUCCAUGUCCAGGGUGUUUAUUUAAAAAUGAAUAAAACAAGCAUAAGCA